rnacentral:rRNA from 1 species
AAUGAACGCUGGCGGCGUGCCUAACACAUGCAAGUCGAACGAGAAAGUUCCUUCGGGAAUGAGUAGAGUGGCGCACGGGUGAGUAACGCGUGGGUAAUCUGCCCUUGGAUUUGGGAUAACUUCGCGAAAGUGGAGCUAAUACCGGAUAGUCUGGCUUUGUAAAAGGAGUCGGUAAAGGAUGCCUCUGCAUAUGCAUUCGUCCGAGGAUGAGCCCGCGUCUCAUUAGCUAGUUGGUAGGGUAACGGCCUACCAAGGCGACGAUGAGUAGCUGGUCUGAGAGGAUGAUCAGCCACACUGGGACUGAAACACGGCCCAGACUCCUGCGGGAGGCAGCAGUGGGGAAUAUUGCGCAAUGGGCGAAAGCCUGACGCAGCAACGCCGUGUGAGGGAUGAAGGUUUUCGGAUCGUAAACCUCUGUCAGAAGGGAAGAAGUGGUGCGGGUCCAACAGGCCCGUAUCUUGACGGUACCUUCAAAGGAAGCACCGGCUAACUCCGUGCCAGCAGCCGCGGUAAUACGGAGGGUGCAAGCGUUAUUCGGAAUUACUGGGCGUAAAGCGCACGUAGGCGGCCUUGUAAGUCAGGUGUGAAAUCCCACGGCUCAACCGUGGAACUGCACUUGAAACUGCGGGGCUCGAAUCCUGGAGAGGGCGGCGGAAUUCCUGGUGUAGGAGUGAAAUCCGUAGAUAUCAGGAGGAACACCGGUGGCGAAGGCGGCCGCCUGGACAGGUAUUGACGCUGAGGUGCGAAAGUGUGGGGAGCAAACAGGAUUAGAUACCCUGGUAGUCCACACCGUAAACGAUGGAUACUAGGUGUCGGGGACUUGAUCCUCGGUGCCGCAGUUAACGCGUUAAGUAUCCCGCCUGGGGAGUACGGUCGCAAGGCUGAAACUCAAAGAAAUUGACGGGGGCCCGCACAAGCGGUGGAGUAUGUGGUUUAAUUCGAUGCAACGCGAAGAACCUUACCUGGGCUUGACAUCCUGGGAAUUCCGCAGAGAUGCGGAAGUGCCCUUCGGGGAAUCCAGAGACAGGUGCUGCAUGGCUGUCGUCAGCUCGUGCCGUGAGGUGUUGGGUUAAGUCCCGCAACGAGCGCAACCCCUAUCCUCAGUUGCCAGCAGGUAAAGCUGGGCACUCUGUGGAGACUGCCCGGGUUAACCGGGAGGAAGGUGGGGACGACGUCAAGUCAUCAUGGCCCUUACGCCCAGGGCUACACACGUACUACAAUGGUGGGCACAAAGGGCAGCGAAACCGCGAGGUCCAGCCAAUCCCAAAAAAACCAUCAUAGUCCGGAUUGCAGUCUGCAACUCGACUGCAUGAAGUUGGAAUCGCUAGUAAUCCCGGAUCAGCAUGCCGGGGUGAAUACGUUCCCGGGCCUUGUACACACCGCCCGUCACACCACGAAAGUCGGUUCUACCCGAAGCCGCCAGGCUAACCCGCAAGGGAUGCAGGCGUCUACGGUAGGGCUGGUAAUUGGGGUG